GCAGGGUGCUGGCUCAGGAAACCUGUGGGAAAAUAAACCUCCUUCUCUUUACAGACCCUGUCGAUUAAUACUGUUUGUAUAAGGCGUGUUUCCAUGAUAAAAUUCUAGUGUAGAUUUUGGACGUUCAUUUCUGAAUGUGGGUAGUGUAGGGAAGGCAGAGAAACAGAGAAGUGAAUGGAGAAAGAAGGUUUGAGUGUACCUGAUAGAGACCCAUGAGGACCUGGGGAAGUGGGGAGGAGGGGCCAGUGAGCUGAUCCAGACGAGGUAUGCUGACUCACUGGGCUUGAGGCAUACCCAUCAGCUCUGUGGGUGACCAUUGUGAUAGUGGUUAGUGCUGGUCACCAAACAUUCCCAGAUCUCCUUCCAGGUAUGUGGUGGGGUGUGUUUCCCUGCUCCCUUGUGGUUCAUAUGGCCAUGUGACAUGCCUUGGCCCAUGAAAUGUGAGUGGAGGGGACAUGCGUCACUUUCAGGUAGAAGCUCUAAGAGCCAGGGCAUGGUUUCCCAUGUUCCUUCUGCUCUAGUGCCUGGCAAGGCUCCAAGGGGUGGCAGACCCAUCUAGGUCUUAGAGCAAGGAUGACACAGACCAGAGCCCACAACUGACCUCUAAUGUUUUCUCUUCUUUUGAAGGAGGAAGCAGAGUAUGCCUGUGGGUCCUUGCAGGUGUCUGACAUGAUGCAGACAGGCACUCUGGGUAAUGACAUUUGCCCCUGUGGAUCCAGAUAUUAAUUAAGAGCAAAGGAUGGAAGAGACUGUGCCUCAAAAGAGGCGAGAGGCAUGCUUCCCAACAGAACGUAUCAGAGAGAACAGGACAGAGGGUAGAGGGGGUUUCUAGGAGCCACAAAGAACAGACCUGAUGUGGACCACUGUGGUAACUACCACCUUAACACAACUGCAAAUGCUGGGAGUGGAACCGAAGAGUAUUAGAGCAACAUUGGAGAAGAAAUGGAAAAGCCUGGGGCCAGACAGGGAAAAAGACACAGAAAUAAUUUCUUUUUCCAAAUUCUACACUUGACUGACACUUCUGGCCUCACUGAAAUUACACGCCCAGCUCUUCUGAAUACGACGCAAUCUUUUGAAAACUGAGACUGUGAAUGACAUGGAGCCAAACCAAUGGUAGGCAUUCUUGUUAUUUUUGCCAUCCUGAAACACCUUUGGAACCAUCAAGAAAAUAGACACCUGCAGUACGGGUUUCAAAGC
rnacentral:lncRNA from 1 species